UACGAAGGGGGCUAGCGUUGCUCGGAAUUACUGGGCGUAAAGGGAGCGUAGGCGGACAGUUAAGUCAGUGGUGAAAGCCCAGAGCUCAACUCUGGAAUAGCCUUUGAUACUGAUUGUCUUGAGUAUGGGAGAGGUAUGCGGAACUCCGAGUGUAGAGGUGAAAUUCGUAGAUAUUCGGAAGAACACCAGUGGCGAAGGCGGCUCACUGGCCCGGUACUGACGCUGAGGUGCGAAAGCGUGGGGAGCAACAGG
rnacentral:rRNA from 1 species